GUAAGUGUCUGUCAUUUGCUUCCAGAAUCUGAAACAUCUGUAGCUUCAUUCACAUAGUUUCUCUAGCUGGUAACAUCCUGCCUGCUGGGCACACUGCCGGGCUCCAUGCAAGUUCUAUGUUGCAUGCUCCCAGGGUGCCAGUCUUUCACUGCUGCCCAACUUCACAACGAUUCCCAGCAUCCUCCUAUUGCAUUCUGUUUAAGAAGCAAGUAAGGUUAUUUGAGAAGCAAUGGAGUGCACUUUCACGCCUUCGUAUGUUC